GGCGCAAUGAAAGUGAAGGCAGGCGUUGGUCUGCUUAGGCGAGAGCCUCCGCCCGGGGGCGCAUCGUCGACCGAUCCCAGGCUACGCUGUGGCGGGAUUUGAGUAAGAGCGUGCCUGUUGCGACCCGAAAGAUGGUGAACUAUGCCUGAAUAGGGUGAAGCCAGAGGAAACUCUGGUGGAAGCUCGUAGCGAUUCUGACGUGCAAAUCGAUCGUCAAAUUUGGGUAUAGGGGCGAAAGACUAAUCGAACCAUCUA
rnacentral:rRNA from 1 species